GGUACACUGACCGUACUAAGGUAGCAUAAUAAUUUGCCUUUUAAUUGGAGGCUAGUAUGAAUGGUUUGACGUGAAAUAUACUGUCUCAACUAUAUUUAGUAGAAUUUAACCUUUAGGUGAAGAGGCCUAAAUUUUGUGGGAAGACAAGAAGACCCUAUUGAGCUUUAAAUAUUUGUGUUAGUGGGAACCUAAGAUUUAUAUGAUGGUCAUUACCUCUAAGUAUGUUGGUUGGGGCGACCGAGGAGUGUAAAAUAACCUCCUUGUAAUGUAAAGAAUUUGUUAUCAACGAACCUGUAAUAUAGGUUAUUCGGUAGUUACCAUAGGGAUAACAGCGUAAUUCUUUUGAAGAGUUCAUAUCGAAGAAAGAGAUUGCGACCUCGAUGUUGGAUUAAGGUGUCCUAAGGGUAGAAGAA
rnacentral:rRNA from 1 species